GGCCAGCAGCCGCGGUAAUACGGAGGGUGCAAGCGUUAUCCGGAUUCACUGGGUUUAAAGGGUGCGUAGGAGGGCAGGUAAGUCAGUGGUGAAAUCUCCAAGCUUAACUUGGAAACUGCCGUUGAUACUAUCUGUCUUGAAUACCGUGGAGGUGAGCGGAAUAUGUCAUGUAGCGGUGAAAUGCUUAGAUAUGACAUAGAACACCAAUUGCGAAGGCAGCUCGCUACACGAAUAUUGACUCUGAGGCACGAAAGCGUGGGGAUCAAACAGGAUUAGAUACCCUGGUAGUCCACGCCCUAAACGAUGGAUACUCGACAUACGCGAUACACAGUGUGUGUCUGAGCGAAAGCAUUAAGUAUCCCACCUGGGAAGUACGACCGCAAGGUUGAAACUUAAAGGAAUUGGCGGGGGA
rnacentral:rRNA from 1 species